rnacentral:rRNA from 1 species
AACCGGGAUGAGCUCAAAUUUACAAAUCUGGUCGUCUUUCAGGCGUCCGAGUUGUAAUCUAUAGAGGCGUUUUCCGCGCCUGGACCGCGUCCAAGUCUCUUGGAAUAGAGUAUCAAAGAGGGUGACAAUCCCGUACUUGACGCGACAACCGGUGCUCUGUGAUACGUUCUCAAUGAGUCGAGUUGUUUGGGAAUGCAGCUCUAAAUGGGUGGUAAAUUCCAUCUAAGGCUAAAUAUUGGCGAGAGACCGAUAGCGAACAAGUACCGUGAGGGAAAGAUGAAAAGCACUUUGGAAAGAGAGUUAAACAGCACGUGAAAUUGUUAAAAGGGAAACGAUUGAAGUCAGUCGUGUGAAAGGUAUUCAGCCGUCUCUGGCGGUGUAUUUGCCUUUCACGGGUCAACAUCAGUUUGAUCCGGUAGAAAAAGGCGGGAGGAAGGUGGCACCCUCGGGAUGUGUUAUAGCCUCCUGUCAUAUGUGCCGGACCAGACUGAGGAACGCAGCUUGCCGCAAGGCCGGGGUUCGCCCACGUACAAGCUUAGGAUGUUGACAUAAUGGCUUUAAACGAC